CAAAGCGAAAACACUGAGCAGUGAUGAGGAAGGGGAAGCCUCUGGAAAGAGAAAAGCAGAAGAUG